rnacentral:rRNA from 1 species
GUGGACGCAUCACUGGUGUUCGGGUUGUCAUGCCAAUGGCACUGCCCGGUAGCUAAAUGCGGAAGAGAUAAGUGCUGAAAGCAUCUAAGCACGAAACUUGCCCCGAGAUGAGUUCUCCCUGACUCCUUGAGAGUCCUGAAGGAACGUUGAAGACGACGACGUUGAUAGGCCGGGUGUGUAAGCGCAGCGAUGCGUUGAGCUAACCGGUACUAAUGAACCGUGAGGCUUAACCUUACAACGCCGAAGRUGUU